UGGGUGGGUGGGUGGGUGGGUGUGCAUCUGGGUGUGGCGGAUAGCGGUUCGCAGUUGGCGGAUAGGGGGCACUGACAACCGCAUCAAGGGGACCUACCCGGUUACACCGCCACCGCACCGCCCCCACCUCCAACCCGCCCAUCCGCCCCGGCUUGUAUCCUGUCCCCAAUGGAAACAACCUUGCAACCCCCCCACCUGCCCCCCACCCCCCACCCACCUCCCCCACCCCCAGGUGGACAUGCUGGUUGGCGACAUCUACGGC
rnacentral:lncRNA from 1 species